UGAGGAAUAUUGGUCAAUGGUCGGGAGACUGAACCAGCCAAGCCGCGUGAGGGAUGAAGGUGCUAAGCAUUGUAAACCUCUUUUGUCAGGGAACAAAGGCAUCCACGAGUGGAUGUGUGAGUGUACCUGAAGAAAAGCAUCGGCUAACUCCGUGCCAGCAGCCGCGGUAAUACGGAGGAUGCGAGCGUUAUCCGGAUUUAUUGGGUUUAAAGGGUGCGUAGGCGGCCUGUUAAGUCAGCGGUAAAAGCCCGGGGCUCAACCCGCGAGCGUGAACAUGGCUGGCUGGAGUUGGCGAGAGUAUGCGGAAUGCGCGGUGUAGCGGUGAAAUGCUUAGAUAUCGCGCAGAACUCCGAUUGCGAAGGCAGCAUGCCGGCGCCACACUGACGCUGAGGCACGAAAGCGUGGGGAUCAAACAGGAUUAGAUACC
rnacentral:rRNA from 1 species